ensembl:lncRNA
GGUAACCGUCCCCAGCGUGAGGCUCUCGGGCCAGAGGCUUCGCCUGCAGCCCUGCGCGGCUGCAGCGGACCACAGCCGUGUGAGAGGCAUCCUCCGCUGCUGGGUGCCCCCCUCGAAGUCCAGGAAACCUGUAAUUGGCCUUUGAGUUGUCUGCCCACAAAGCCUGGUGAAUUUAUUGAGUCUGGAACUCUGCCAGCUGUUGUGGAGGAGAGGAUGACCAAGUCUCUGUCCACCGGGAGGAGGGCUGUGAGGCUGCCAAGGGUCAGUCCGAUAAGAGGGAAGAGCUGGACUCCUCGAGGUUUAUCCUCCCACCAGCUGCCUCCUUUCCGCUGGCCUCAGAUACUGACAGGCUAUUGUGGCCCUGUUCUCUCCCCUUCCUGACACAUACCGCCCCUGGCUGUGGCCCAGCUGGGCUUCCCCUGCCUGGCCUCCAGCUCCCGUUCCCAUCUGGGGUCAGAUGAAGCCUGCGCUGGGGGAGGGGUCAGUCCUAGAA